rnacentral:rRNA from 1 species
GAUGAACGCUGGCGGCGUGCUUAACACAUGCAAGUCGAACGAAGCACUUUAUUUGAUUUCCUUCGGGACUGAUUAUUUUGUGACUGAGUGGCGGACGGGUGAGUAACGCGUGGGUAACCUGCCUUGUACAGGGGGAUAACAGUUGGAAACGGCUGCUAAUACCGCAUAAGCGCACAGCAUCGCAUGAUGCAGUGUGAAAAACUCCGGUGGUAUAAGAUGGACCCGCGUUGGAUUAGCUAGUUGGUGAGGUAACGGCCCACCAAGGCGACGAUCCAUAGCCGACCUGAGAGGGUGACCGGCCACAUUGGGACUGAGACACGGCCCAAACCCCUACGGGAGGCAGCAGUGGGGAAUAUUGCACAAUGGGCGAAAGCCUGAUGCAGCGACGCCGCGUGAGCGAAGAAGUAUUUCGGUAUGUAAAGCUCUAUCAGCAGGGAAGAUAAUGACGGUACCUGAUGAAGAAGCACCGGCUAAAUACGUG